rnacentral:lncRNA from 1 species
AAGGGAGAGAGGAGAGAGGAAAGAUAAGUGAGAAAGGGAAAAGAAGCAACAAGAAAAUAAAAAUAAAAAUAAAAUAAAAGUCAAAUGAAAAAGAAUGCAAAAUUGGUUUAUUUGACAACUGGAUGACAAGGAAUUGUAUUUCAGCAUGAAAGGAACUGGCAAAAAAUUAGGGAACAAGAAUGAAAGAAAUGAUGUUUUCAAACCAAGGGGGCUUGACUGUUCGUUGGAGCAGCUACUAUGAGAUGUAAGUAAUUAAGACAUUAUUAUUAUUAUUAUUAUUAUUAUUAUUAUUAUUAUUAUUAUUAUUGUUGUUGUUGUUAUUAGUAGAAUCGUUAACUCGACGGGUAAAAUGCUUAGCGGCAUCUCGUCCGUCUUUUACGUUCUGAGUUCAAAUUCCACCCAAUUUGACUUAUCCCUUCAUCCUCUCGAGAUCGAUAAAACAAGUACCAGUUGAACACUGGGGUCGAUAUAAUCGGCUCAUCCCCCCUCCCCAAACUUGCUGCCAUAGUGGCAAAAUUUGAAACUAUUAUUAUUAUUAUUAUUAUUAUUAUUAUUAUUAUUAUUAUUAUUAUUAUUAUUGACUGAAUCGUUAGCACGCCGGUUGAAAAGCUUAGCGACAUUUCAUCCGUUUAUACGUUCAGAGAUUAAAUUCCGCCGAAUUUGACUUUACCGUUUAUCCUUCCGGUAUCGAUAAAUUAAGUACUAUUUUGAUGUAAUCGACUUACCGCAUCUCUAAAAUUGCUAGUCUUGUGCCUAAAUUUGAAACCACUACUACUACUACUACUACUACUACUACUACUACUACUACUACUACUACUACUACUACCACCACCACCACCACCACCACUACUUAAUCGGCGGGCUCGCAGAAUUGCUAGCACGCCGGACAAAAUGCUUAUCGUCAUUUCAUCUAUCUUUUUGUUCUGAGUUUAAAUAUCGUUGAAAUAGACCUUGUCUUUCAUUUUCCUGGGCUCAAUAAAUUAAGUACUAGUCAAGCACUAGGGUCGAUCUAGCUGACUUGCUCCCUGCCCACUCAAAUAUUAUUUGGUCCUGUGCCAAAAUUUGCGAGCUGGCAGAAACGUUAGCACGCCGGGAGAAAUGCGUAGCCGUAUUUCGUCUGCUGUUAUGUUCUGAGUUCAAAUUCCGCCGAGGUCGACUUUGCCUUUCAUCCUUUCGGGGUCGAUAAAUUAAGUACCAGUUACACACUGGGGUCGAUAUAAUCGAUUUAAUCCGUUUGUCUGUCCUUGUUUGUCCUCUCUGUGUUUAGCCCCUUGUGGGUAGUAAAGAAAUAGGUGUUUCGUCUGUCUUCACAUUCUGGGUUCAAAAUCCGCCGUGGUCGACUUUGCCUUUCAUCCUUUCGGGGUUGAUAAAUUAAGUACUAAUGGAUCACUGGGAUCGAUGUAAUCAACUAUUCUCCUCUCCCUUAAUUUCAGGCUUUGUGCCAAUUGUAGAAAGGAUUACUGUUAUUAUUAUUAUUAUUGGCGGUGUGCUGGCAGAAUAGUAAAGCUCGCUGGGCGAAAUGCUUGGCAAUUCGUCCGUCUUUACGUUCGAAGUUCAAAUUCCGCCGGGGUCGACUUUGCCUGUCAUCCUUCCGGAUUCGUGAAAAUAUGUACCUGUCCAGCACUGGGAUCGUUGUAAUCGACUAGUCCCCUCCCGCAAAAUUUCAGGCCUUGUGUCUAUAGUAGAAAAGAUUAUUAUCAUUUUUUAUUAGGUGCACGGAACAUAUCGAUUCCUAAUUUGAGACACUGCCUGAUUUUGUAUUUCAACGCGGCGAGCUGACAGAAUCAUUAACAUGCCAAAGAAAAUACUAGGUAUCAUUUCUUCCGGUUUGUUACGCUCUGAGUUCAAAUUCCACCGAGGUCGACUUUAGUUUACAUCCUUUCGGGGACCGAGAAAAAUACCAAUUGAACACUGAGAUCGAUGUAUUUGGUCCGUCUUUAUGGUGUGAGUUCAAAUUCCUCCCAGGUCGACUAUGCCUUUCAUCCUUUCGGGGGUCUAUGAAAUAAGUACCAGUUAGACACUAGGUCGAUGUAAUCGGCUUAUUCCCUCGUCCGAAAUUGCUGGUCUUGUGCCAAAAUUUGAAACCAUUGUUGUUGUUGUUGUAGCAGUAGUUGUUGUUAUUAUUAUUAUUAUUAUUAUUAUUAUUAUUAUUAUUAUUAUUAUUAUUAUUAUUAUUAUUAUUAUUAUUAUUAUUAUUAUUAUCUUCAUUAUUAUUAUCAUUAAAUCAGGGAGCUAGCAGAAUCUUUCACAGGCUGGACAAAAUGCUUAACGAUAUUCUGCCGGUCGCUACGUUAUGAGUUCAAAUUCUGCCAAUCUCGACUUUGCCUUUCAUCUUUUCGGGGUCAAUAAAUUAAGUACCAGUGGAACACUGCAGUCUAUGUAAUCGACCAGUCUCCCCACCAUCCCAACUUCAGGUUUUGUGACUUUAGUAGAAAUGAUUAUUAUUAUUAUUAUUAUUAUUAUUAUUAUUAUUAUUAUUAUUAUUAUUAUUAUUAUUAUU